CGGCCAAGAGUUUUCAAAAUAUCAAUGAAUGAUUAGGAUAAAAUAUUAAAUAGUGAUAUAAUAUUAUAUUAAUAUUAUCCUAAUAUUUAUAUGAAUAUAAUAUUAAUAUCAAUAUCAAUAUUAUAAUAUUUAUUAUAUUUUAAUAUUUAUACUAAUAUAAUAUUUUUAUUAAUAUAAUAUUAUUUUUAAUAUUAUAUUUAUAUC
rnacentral:lncRNA from 1 species